rnacentral:rRNA from 1 species
UCAUGAAAGCCGGUUGUACCCGAAGUCACCCGCGUUAACUCUGCAAAGAGAGACAGGUGCCGAAGGUAUGGCUGGUGAUUGGGAUG